UCCUCGUCCGAUCCUCUCUUCCUCCUCCUCCUCCUUCCUCUCUUCGCUCUUCCCGGCUAAGGUAGGGGCCGACAAGAUCCGAACAGCUAGAGGACGCCCACGACCACCAUGGCACGGUUGGUCGGCAACAUGAGGGAAUCCGAAGGAAGAGAGAACAACACCGAGAUCUUUGAUCUUGUGUAAAGGGGUCUCCUUCUUCUGAAGCAGAGAGAUCGAGUGCAGUACAAGAAUAACGAAGUAUGUCUGCCUGUUAAAACCCUAAAAUUGCAGGCAUAAAGGCUCUCCGUGCUUCAUUUUCUCCUUCUCGACCUCUUCGCUCGCUGGGUACACGGUCAAAACCUCUCGUUUCCUCUUUUCAUUCUUCUUAAUCGUCUGAUUGCUAAAGGUUGAGGAUGGGGUUUGGGGUUAACCUCUCUAUAAAGCGCCGAAGCCUUUUCUUUUCCCCCGACUUUCUCCUUCUCGCGACUUCGGACUUCACGCGACCGAGACCGGCGAUUUCUUCUUCUCUCGGUGGCGCCGGCGAAGAGCGGACCUUGGAGCGUUGAGAGGAAGAGAGGUUAGUUACAGCCGAACCUUCUUUCUCCCCGAUCCCUUCCUCCCUUCUCUGAUCUCGGUGAACAACGGCGACGGAUCUCGAUCGGUGGAUUUCGCCGGCUGUCGGGAGGGAACCAAGUGCAUCGGCGUUGGAUCAGGCCAGCAUCGAUUGUUUGGAGGAGGUAACAACCAUUGUUCCUUCCCGAUCUCUGUCCCUGUUCGUCGGCAAGAACAAGUCAUUGCCCUAACUUCGAUCUUGGAGAGACUGGUAUUUUGGUCCCGGCCACCACAGCUCUGUUGGAUCGAUCUCUUCUUCGUAUCAGUGAUCGUCUCCGGUGAUUGAAGGGUGCAGAGAGGAUGCGAUGUGCUUAUUUUAGAUACUGGAUUGGGAAGUGCAGAGAAUCAAGCAAGGGUCAAGGAGUUGCUUCAUGUGGAGGAAUCAAAACUAGAGGAGGAUGAGGCAGUGAGAUGGGUUCGAGAUGAUAAAUAUGAUUGCAUCCGAUUAAAGCAUUGCAAGGUUGUGACAAAAAUUGAUUGGCAUCGGAAAGGAGACUAUUUCACUACUGUCGUUCCUAGUGAUAUCCUAAUUAUGAAUUUUAGUUGUACUUAUUUUUAGUCAUUCCUAGUGCCUAUUUUAUAUCUCAGUUUUGUUUCUUUCUUUUUUCUAAUACACACUGACAAAUUGGAAAUAUAUAAAAAUCAUGACAUUAUACCUAGUUACCUAGCCUUUGAGGCUGGAAUCAGGAUGAAACCUAAAGUGCCCUGAAAAGUUUAGGCAUACCAAAUUCUCUCAGUUUAAUGACAGAGGUCAGUUGUGUUGCAAACUUUGUUGUUUUCCUUGUUUUUCAUUUACCGCGUCUAGAUUAAGAAACUAUGGCUUUCUAACUCAAAUAAAAAUUGCAAUUCCUGCCUAUC